AGAGUUUGAUUAUGGCUCAGGAUGAACGCUGGCGGCGUGCUUAACACAUGCAAGUCGAACGGAGUUUUUAACGGAAGUUUCGGAUGGAAGUUUAGAAACUUAGUGGCGGACGGGUGAGUAACGCGUGGGUAACCUGCCUCAUACAGGGGGAUAACAGUUAGAAAUGACUGCUAACACCGCAUAAUAUAGCGAAACCGCAUGAUUUUUGCUAUCAAAUAUUUAUAGGUAUGAGAUGGGCCCGCGUCUGAUUAGCUAGUUGGUGGGGUAAAAGCCUACCAAGGCGACGAUCAGUAGCCGGCUUGAGAGAGUGACCGGCCACAUUGGGACUGAGACACGGCCCAAACUCCUACGGGAGGCAGCAGUGGGGAAUAUUGGACAAUGGGGGAAACCCUGAUCCAGCGAACCGCCGCGUGAGUGAAGAAGUAUUUCGGUAUGUAAAGCUCUAUCAGCAGGGAAGAUAAUGACAGUACCUGACUAAGAAGCCCCGGCUAACUACGUGCCAGCAGCCGC
rnacentral:rRNA from 1 species